rnacentral:tRNA from 1 species
GCCAGUGUGGUGUAGCGGUUUGAGCAUUAGACAAUGACUCUGGAGACCAGGGUUCGAAUCCCCACUUGACC